UACGUAGGGCGCAAGCGUUGUCCGGAAUUAUUGGGCGUAAAGAGCUCGUAGGCGGUUUGUCGCGUCGGAUGUGAAAGCCCGGGGCUUAACCCCGGGUCUGCAUUCGAUACGGGCAGACUGGAGUGUGGUAGGGGAGAUCGGAAUUCCUGGUGUAGCGGUGAAAUGCGCAGAUAUCAGGAGGAACACCGGUGGCGAAGGCGGAUCUCUGGGACGGUACUGACGCUGAGACGCGAAAGCGUGGGGAGCGAACAGG
rnacentral:rRNA from 1 species